GGUCUCAAAAACACAGCUAACUAACUCAUAGUACAUUUGCAUUGUAGUGGGUUGGCUUUUGGAUUUUUUAGGCCUUCCUUAGCAACGGGGGUCAGAAAUCUAAGGAAGUAUUCCAUAUCAUCCUUUAGCGUAACACAACAUAUAAAAAGGCACAGAUAAGAGAGCUCGCUCUCUCCUCUCCUCCCGUGGCUGAAGACGACAGGUCUCUCUGCAGAUGGUCUUUGCUUGUAUACGCCAAGGCCUGUCUGCUCCGACCUGCCGUUAUCCCCGGUCCCUCCGGGAGGCGUGGGGAGUUGGCUGGUGCCUCGCACAGUUCUGCUGUCUCGUUCAGGGAAGUAUUUAAUUCGGGUUUUCGUAUUUAUUCGCUAGCUCUCUAUUAAUGGGGUAUAUUUGGAGGAUAUUUGUUUUUAGGUUUUUUAUCCCUGUUUCCCCCUCCGUUUUCCCUUUUUUCCCCUCGGGAGCUCCCUAUCGUGUGUACAAUAUAUUCAAAUUGUAUAUAUAAUGGUAAAUAUAUGUAAAUACAUAUGUUCGAUAUAAUUCCGUUUCAUUCGGACUUCCUUCGGUUUUUCUGUGGUUCUUUUUUUUUCUUCCCCCACUUGAGAGAGUAGGAGGGGGGAGGAGAGAGCUUGGACUUGGCAAGAGAGCCAGGCCAAACUGAUACAUGCAUGCAGCAAAGAAAGGGAUAGGAUUCUGUGACUUAAAAGGCCUAAUCACUCUUACACUCUUCGAUUCUGGUGAAUUAUGUAGCAAACAUUUUAUUUUCUAUGCAUCACUCAAAAAUUACAUGCAGGAAUGUUGCCUUUUGCAGUCAUGUCUCUUUGGCAUUUCUGCAUAAUCCAUCCCAGGAUGAUUUCUUUUUACAUUGAAUUUACUUUUACUGUUGCUCAAGGUCAAAACUGCAGAAAAUAUUCCUUAAAUGACAUUUCAAAAUCUGUGAAUCUGACAGAAGUAACCUAGUAACUAACCCCGCCUAAAUGCAUAACAUAGUUUGGUAAAUAGUACUUUAUAUCUCCUUUAAACUAGAUAUUACUUUUAUUGAUAGAGCCAAGGGGAGAAAAAAAAUCCCCAAAUGGUGAGAUUGCACAGAAAUAGCAAAAUGGAAAAAUUUUGGGCGGAAAUUCAAUUCACAAAAUGCUGCACCCAGGUAACUGCAGUCUUCUAUGAGGUCUGGUUAUCUAGUAUCUAAGGACUUCACAAGCAGCAAUAAAUACAUACCCAUAUUUAAUGCAGACUUAAUGCACAUCUGCAAUAAUGUAGAUAGCAGCAUUCUGCCCCCUUUGACCUCUGGAAGGUCAUAUGUCUUACUCAAAGUAAAUUUACAGUGUAAACAUACACGUGCCUGAAAUUUUUUUAAGUAUUCCACAUGUGUUAGUUCAACUUAGUGAUUUUUCAAGCUAAGGUAAAAAGCUUUUUUCACUAUAAAAAAAAAAAGUUCAAUUGAAAUUUUUUUGUUCUUCAUUUCAGAAUAUGUAUUAUGUAUAUAUCAGAAAAUAUUGAUUAUGCAUAUAUCAGAAAACAUCAGCAAAGGCUUACUUUUUCACAAUCCUAAGCAGAAUGAGAAAAAGAAAUAUGCUAAAAAUCUCAUGAGCCUGUGACUAAUAACUCCAUUCUUCAGACACAGUAGUUCUUUCAAGCAGAAAAGAUACAAUUUCCCAGGAGUAGGGCCCAGACAACAGAAUUAAUUCUCCUAUUACAGUUGAGACAGUACAAACCAAAUUCCAAGUGCAAGGCUCAUUCCCUUGAAUUGUCACCUUGUACACAAUACAGACUACAGAUAUAUAAAUCAAAACUACCAAAGGAAAACAAUAAAUAAAAAAGCUUUAUCAAAACAAGACACUUCAUUUUACUUUCCCUCAGUGAUAAAGAAAAAAGAAUUAAGAAAAUAAAAAGCCUCAUGCCAGAUACUGGCCCAUUCCUAAAUGCUUACUAAAAUACACCAUUUUGUUUUAGAAUAUGAUAAGGAAUAGAACAGAAGUAAAACUAAUAAAAAGUAGAAAUUGCUGGACACUGCCCCUGUGAUUCCAACAUAGUUUCUAGAAGAAAGAGAAAUUAUUAAAAAUCAUUGUUUUCGUUGUUUAUUUGUGUGUUUCAGCCUUUCAGGAGUAAUAAAAAUAAAAAAUCAUUCAGAGAUAAGGCUUGCACGGUAAUGAACACUUCACAGCUAGCUGGAGUUCUUUUCUUUUCCAGUGAGAGUCCCUCAAAAUCAAAGGAACCACACUGCCUACAACAAAUAUACUAGCACUGCAAAAGUUUCACCUACUGGGAGGAAGGUGAAGCUCUGAAAAUUACUUCGGUUUUGAUUAGGAAUCUGUAUGACAGAUAUGAGGAAGAAAGAUAACUACUCCACUAGAUGCUGAAAACAGAAUAACAAAAGCCAAAGUUAACAACUGUGGAACACUCAUAACAUUUAGGGCAAAAGUGCCUUCUGUGAUCAAUGGUGCAGAUCCCUGGGAAUCCCAAACAUGAAGCAAGAGUAGAAUAUCCAACAGAAAACUGCAAUGCAGGCAAUUUACUGCUUGUGGUGCACCGGAGGAUGAACACACAGACAACAGAUAUGUAUAGGUCAGUCAGCAGCACCAUAGGGGAGGACAUCAAGAGACCUUACAUAAUCAUUCCAUGGUGGCCAACUGUCCCAUACAACUAAAAAAGAUUUCCACAGUGGAAACGGAACUUUCAAAAACAUGAUGCCACUAAAACUGCUUUAUUCCCAAGGAUUCAGCAGAAUAGCAGUCUGGAUCAAUUCUACAGUUUUGAAAAAAAAACCACUCCCAGCUGAGAAGCAACAUGACAUAAGAGUCCCAUAUCAAUUCUGACCUAUGCUGCAGAAACUUUGGCAAAUCUGUAGAAGAAACUGGGAUGCAACUGGUGGGGUAAUUGAGAGGUUUACUAGUUCAAUUGCUUUUGCUUGAGGGCAGAGUAUAUUCAACUAAAGAAGAACUGAUAACAUGCACUUGAAAUGUACAGUGAAAAAUCAGAUUUUAAAAAGCGUGGUUCUGAAAAUACCUUUCUUUUAUGAUCUUCCCAGCAAACCAGCAGUCUGAAAAUUUAAUGUCUGUUUCUUUGCACCACAUUGUAGUAAUUCUACUCAGCAAUUAAAGACACAGAGAAUUUCACUCAGUGGAACAGAAAGUAAAAUCUCAAUGACAUAAUUAUGUUCAUAUUAGAACAAAAAGGAAACAGAUUCAAAAAAACAUACUCUUUCCAUUAAAAAAGAAUCUCCUCAGGAGCAGUUUCAUUUCAUUUCAUUCCAAAACCACUUUCUUACUGCUAUCUAAAAAUAGAGUAUGCAAUUCCCUCUUGUAGAGUAAGAUUUACUCCACAACUCCGUACGUGAUAAAUAAUGCAAGAAAUUUUGUUCUCCUUGUUCCUUCAGAUUCCCAAAGAGUUACAAAACCAUCUCUACUUUACUUCUAACAUUUCCUUCAUGAGAAAUAUAGACACGUGAAAUGCAUGUACACCACAUUUAGUGCCUCCAGCGAUUCAAGAGGUAAUUUUAAAUAGUAAGCCCUGAAUACAUUAGGUAGUUUUAGAUAAUUCAGAUGCCCUCUUUUGUGUUAUUUCAAAUCAUUUCAUCACUCAUUGCAAAACAUUAGAGAAAUAAUAACAAUUUCCAGAUGACAAAGACUGUGCCUCAGGGCUUUUAUGUGGGCUUUGCUUUAUUGUCAUUAGUUUCUCUGUCAGGCACAGAGAAUAAACACAGUACAACAAACUGAUGCCUUUUUAAGAAUUAUAACUACCAUAACUGCUUUGUUAUAGUGAAUAAACUAAACACAACAUUUAUUUUAUCAUUAAAUGUGUACUAUAACUCAACACUAUAUAGAAAUGUAUUCAUAGAAUUUAGGGACAGACAUUCAUUUCUCCUGCAUAAACACAGUUGGGAAUCAAGCUAAAUUAAUCAAUACGUCCUAACUAGAAGAACUUUCAAGAAGUCUUUCUAAAGACAGAUAGAUAUGGAAAACUGGCAAAAGGUUAAUUAAAAAUUCAGUCAUAUCAGACAGGGUGUUUUGGGUAUAAAUAGUGAAUGUGAGAUUGAGAGAGAGGAAGGAAUUAACAGACUCAGGACGUUGCUGAGAAUUCAGAUCUUCCUAAAUGCCCUUCUCAAUACCCUACAGCAGCUGCCAUCAGGAUCAAGUUUGUUUCAGUAAUGUUCCCUUUUCUGCUCUUCUAUUGGCCAGGAAAUGCAAUGGAAGAUUUUGUGCAUGCAGUGAAACUAUUCACUUGUCGGAGCAGUACUAGAUAUAGGAAAGAUCUUUUGAUAUCUUCCAAAUUUUAUCUUGCACAAUUUAAUGUCAUGUAUGAUUAAACAUUACACAUAUUGAUAUCACUUAUUUGCAUGGAUGGAAGUUUCAUGACCCCUUAAUUUCAGUUUCAUUUGUACUAAGAACUCUUACAGUCAUUGCUCAUUCUGCUAUGCAGUUGGCAUUGAGCAUUCCAUUCAAACAUGGAUUUUAUGUUUUAUGGAGCAAAUAAAUAAAAGCUACCUUAUAGAUCAUUUAAUUUCCUCUGUUCAACUCCAGCAAGUUGCUAUUGGAUGGUGACAAUCCAGAGAAUUUUUUAAUGAUCCAUAAUUUCACCCUUUGUUCCAGUCAAGCGUAAAAUAUACAGAAACAGAAGAAUACAGUGAAAAAUCAAGAAAACCACUGUCAACAAUUAGCCAAGCCUGUACCAUAUAUUAUCUUUGACUGUUCAAAAGAAUAGUAAGGUGGAACUAGUGCAAUUUGUUAUAGGCAAUUUGGUUGUUAUAGGCAGUCCAUUUAAGUAAAAAAACCCAAAAUGUUAUUUACUGUUUUUUCAGCUUUUAAAAUUGU